UACAUGGGGUGCAAACGUUGCUCGGAAUUAUUGGGCGUAAAGCGCGCGUAGGCGGUUUCCUAAGUCGGAUGUGAAAGCCCUUGGCUUAACUGAGGAAGUGCAUCCGAAACUGGGAAGCUUGAGUAUGUAAGAGGGUCGCGGAAUUCCCGGUGUAGAGGUGAAAUUCGUAGAUAUCGGGAGGAACACCGGUGGCGAAGGCGGCGACCUGGUUCAAAACUGACGCUGAGGCGCGAAAGCGUGGGGAGCAAACAGG
rnacentral:rRNA from 1 species